CUAUUCCUACGGGGGGCAGCAGUGAGGAAUAUUGGUCAAUGGGCGGAAGCCUGAACCAGCCAAGUCGCGUGAGGGAAUAAGGCCCUACGGGUCGUAAACCUCUUUUGCCGGGGAGCAAGGGCCGGGACGCGUCCCGGCCCGGAGAGUACCCGGAGAAAAAGCAUCGGCUAACUCCGUGCCAGCAGCCGCGGAAAUACGGAGGAUGCGAGCGUUAUCCGGAUUUAUUGGGUUUAAAGGGUGCGUAGGGGGUUAAUU
rnacentral:rRNA from 1 species